rnacentral:lncRNA from 1 species
GUUUGUCUUUUAAAACUCGCACCCCGAGUACGAAACCUGCCUGCCCUCUCCAAGUUUGGAAACAUCCAACCGCCCGCACACCUCCCAGAGUUCCAGGGACGCAGAGUUCCAAGAUGGUUUUUUUUUUUUUUUUAAUCUUGUUUAUAAGAACAACAAGGCCAGCUCACACAUGUCAGAGCGCCGAUUACUCACAGUCAAAAAGAGAAGAAACCAGAAUGGAUGCCCAGGUUCCUCCAACUCAACGCCUCCAGAUGCUCAACGGUUCGGAAAGUCCACUACCCGACCGAGGCUCGUGCUCCAGUACAGAAUGCGGCAUGAGGACCGCAAGAUGCUCAGAUCCUUUCGAGGCAAAGAAAGGAACUAAGGUGUUUUUUAAAAGAAGGCACAUGCAAGAAUCCAACUCCAAGUCAGAGCUCCUCGAGCCUUGAUUCUGAGCCCUGGUCCAGAGCUCUGCCAGUGUUUCCACAAAAGGAUCGUCGUGUCUGAGAUAAAACAAAGGUCUUCCGGAGAAGCAGAUCCCAGCGGGUGGGGGGAGGGGCCUAGGGGUUAUCAGUCCUGUGUAAGUGAAGUAGGGUGCCCUGGAAGGUCUCCGGGAUGCACUGGAUGGCUGUGAGUUGGGGGGCCUGAGUUUGGAAAUCGUCAGAAGCCACCAGCUCUGUCCACUUCAUGCUCCAGGGAAGCAGGUACAUGAGUUUGAGAUGUACAGAGGGAAAGAGGCUGAUGCGUAGAAGGAAACAAAGACGCUGUUGGCUGGGGGGAUGGAUACAGGGUAACCAAGAUCUGAUACAUCCGAACAGAGCUGGUAGCUCAGGCCAGUCGUUUCUUUCCUCUAAAGUCAGGGUAACAGCUGUCUCUCAUUAUGAAGAUGUUUAUGGUGUCUAGGAUUUUUUUUUUUUAAGUAAAGCAAAACAAUAACAAAAAAAGAAAACCCCGGGGCUGGAGAGAUGAUUCUGUGGUUAAGGGCUUUUGUUGUUCUUGCAGAGGACCCAGGUUCAGUUCCCAGCACCCACCCGGUGACUCACAACCAUCUGUAACUCCAGUUACAAGGGAUCCGAUGCCCUUAACUGGCCCGGACAUGCAGGUGGUGCACAUACACACAUGCAGGCAAAACACUCACACAUACACACACACACACACACACACACACACACACACACGCAUGUACAUAUGCAUAUGUAGCCCCCUAAUAUCUAAAUAUCUAAAACUUUGGCAUAAAACCCAAUUUAAUAACAUUUCAGGAAAAGCCAGCAAGAAGUUGGGUCUUUUGUCCUGAAGUUCUCCACUUAGCACAUGCUGAGACCGGAGUCAUUGUCCCAGGAAGGGCGGAUACCAGAGAGUGAAGGAUGGGGAAAUGGGGUCAUUUGUGUCCUGAACCCCAGACCUGUGUGUUUCCACAGCUGUCCUUCCAUGGCCCUCUGGGGAGC